rnacentral:rRNA from 1 species
GACGAACGCUGGCGGCGUGCUUAACACAUGCAAGUCGAACGAAGUGGCGAACGGGUGAGUAACACGUGAGUAACUGCCCUUGACUCUGGGAUAACCUCCGGAAACGGAAGCUAAUACCGGAUAAGGAUGGACUCGCGGCCUAUCAGGUAGUUGGUGAGGUAACGGCUCACCAAGCCUACGACGGGUAGCCGGCCUGAGAGGGGACCGGCCACACUGGGCUGAGACACGGCCCAGACUCCUACGGGAGGCAGCAGUGGGGAAUAUUGCACAAUGGGCGCAAGCCUGAUGCAGCAACGCCGCGUGAGGGAUGACGGCCUUCGGGUUGUAAACCUCUUUUAGUAGGGAAGCGGUACCUGCAGAAAAAGCACCGGCUAACUACGUGCCAGCAGCCGCGGUAAUACGUAGGGUGCGAGCGUUGUCCGGAAUUAUUGGGCGUAAAGAGCUCGUAGCGGUCUGUCGCGUCUGCUGUGAAAACCCGAGGCUCAACCUCGGGCCUGCAGUGGGUACGGGCAGACUAGAGUGCGGUAGGGGAGAAUGGAAUUCCUGGUGUAGCGGUGGAAUGCGCAGAUAUC